rnacentral:rRNA from 1 species
GAUGAACGCUGGCGGCGUGCCUAAUACAUGCAAGUCGAGCGUACAGACGAGGAGCUUGCUCCUCUGACGUUAGCGGCGGACGGGUGAGUAACACGUGGAUAACCUACCUAUAAGACUGGGAUAACUUCGGGAAACCGGAGCUAAUACCGGAUAAUAUAUUGAACCGCAUGGUUCAAUAGUGAAAGACGGUUUUGCUGUCACUUAUAGAUGGAUCCGCGCCGCAUUAGCUAGUUGGUAAGGUAACGGCUUACCAAGGCAACGAUGCGUAGCCGACCUGAGAGGGUGAUCGGCCACACUGGAACUGAGACACGGUCCAGACUCCUACGGGAGGCAGCAGUAGGGAAUCUUCCGCAAUGGGCGAAAGCCUGACGGAGCAACGCCGCGUGAGUGAUGAAGGUCUUCGGAUCGUAAAACUCUGUUAUUAGGGAAGAACAAAUGUGUAAGUAACUAUGCACGUCUUGACGGUACCUAAUCAGAAAGCCACGGCUAACUACGUG